UCGGUUCCAUGGCACGUCGUCGCAGUGUUAUGUCCGGUGUCGUCGUGGUGCACUUCUCCCCUAGUAGGACGUCGCGACCCGUUGGGUGUCGGACUACGGCCUGGGUGGUUGUCCGUUGCGGCGAUUUAUCGCCAUGACAGACCCCCGGUGUCUUUCCCGUCCGACUGCUCGGCGGUAUUGGUGCGAUGGUAUUCGGCCGCAAUCUAUUCUAACGACAUGCGUCAUAGGCCCGUCGCAAGCGCGGUCAGUGUCCCGUGUGGUACGGACGUAGUGCCGUCCCCGGGCCUGACCAGCUGUUGGCUGACGGUGUCCUCUGACUGGCCGCUUACUUGUUUGCGACGCUUUUGCUUUGGGUACUCUCAGGACCCGUCUUGAAACACGGACCAAGGAGUCUAACAUGUGCGCGAGUCAUUGUGAUAACAAAACCUAAAGGCGAAAUGAAAGUGAAUGUCGACCUUGCGUCAACAGAGGGAGGAUGGGUUGCGCAAAGCAGCCUCGCACUCCCGGGGCGUCUCGUUCUCAUUGCGAGGAGAGGCGCACCUAGAGCGUACACGUUGGGACCCGAAAGAUGGUGAACUAUGCCUGGUCAGGACGAAGUCAGGGGAAACCCUGAUGGAGGUCCGUAGCGAUUCUGACGUGCAAAUCGAUCGUCGGAACUGGGUAUAGGGGCGAAAGACUAAUCGAACCAUCUAGUAGCUGGUUCCCUCCGAAGUUUCCCUCAGGA
rnacentral:rRNA from 1 species